ACUUCGGGAAAAGGAUUGGCUCUAAGGGUUGGGUGCAUCGGGCCUUGGCUGGAAGCCCUGGGACUAGGCCGGAACUGUUUGGGGGCAACCCUGGACGGAUCUGGCUUGGAUCCGGGCGUGGAUGGCCUUGGCUGCCUUCGGGUGUCCGGUGUACGCUUAACAACCAACUUAGAACUGGUACGG
rnacentral:rRNA from 1 species